rnacentral:tRNA from 1 species
UACAUUUUAGUAUAUAUGUACAUAGAUUUUUGAGGUCUAAAGGAGUGGGUUAUCCUAUUAAAUGUAA